UCUUAACAAAGCUUCAGGGGGCGCCAGGCUCUCAUUGAAAUUUCAUUAAUCUAAUGGAGUAAAGUCCUAUAGAAAAAAAAUCAAAUUCUCGUUGGACGAGAUGCUACCUGGGAAAGAUAACCUCUGUUUGAACUCUCAGACUCGGAUCGCUCUGCUAUUAGUCUGAGGAAACAGACAGCAACAACGCUGAUUACAGCCACCGGCCUCAACAAUUUUUUUUUCUAACUAGCAAUUUCGAGUGCAAGUGCCACAGUGUCAGCUAAAGAAACACAACUGCAAGUUUUCUGCAGAGCGAAAUGGUUCUGAAAUGUCACUGAAUAGCUCACAAAGGACGCCAAUCUACGACAACAGAGACAUAAGCAUAUAGGAGAAAGGGCCCACACAUCCUCCUUUCAAAGAUGCAUUAACUCUAUGACAUCGGAAAAUGUUAGAUGUGAUGUGGAUAAUGCGGGCUUUGUGUGGAGAAAAGAGAGAGAAAGGGAGAGGAGAGUCAUGGACCCUACUUUAUGGUUGCCAUGGAUGCAAGGUCGGCCUUCCACACUUGGAUCUACCAGCAGAGUUCAGACAGGUCAACGUGUGACUGGCUCAGGCUCUAGGGUUAAAAGUUCAAGCAGCGAUGGAAAAACCAAUAUGUCCACGCAGAGUAUGCUGUACAAUUUAUUUCAAUUUACAUCAAGCCAUGCAUAUAAAAUUUAGAUAAAUUCCAUUCAAAUCCGAUUGUUGCCUGACACACAAUGUAUGCAAACAGAUGUCUGUGGGGCUUUUUCUGUGCUUUAGAAAACAACAUUAAAUUUAAAAAUAUGUCUCUGGGAUUUCUUUAUUGAAUUACAAAAUGAACAUAAUUUUAACUUAAAUGUUUUCAUUCUUUCUUCCAAUUUUUUUAUGGGGGUCUUAAUA